UUCACGUUGUCGUUAAUGCUGUUUGAGCUCUACAACAGUAGUUGCAUGCUAUUUGCAUUGCAUUUCAUUGUUCUAACAUGUCGACCAUCAUCCAGAUGGAAACGUUCCAAACGCUUUUGACUGAACGUUUUAACAAUUUCGCCAAUGUCAUAUUUCAAGAUGUUACGCUUAUGAUAAAAGCAUACCAAGAGGAGAACGACCGUCUGCGGUCCUUACUGAACAAUGCAACAGCCUCCGUGAGGAAUUCAGCCAAAAUCGAUCACAAUAUAUCGGCUGGACCGACAUUGGCUGUCAAACAGCAACCACCUGAUUUGAACAUUCCUGGCGUGGAGACUGGAGCAGCGCACUGUGCCAAAAGGCCUAAAAUGGAGCAUACUAAACAACUGGCUAAUGUGAAGGAAGAAGAGAAAAGUAGUGUUUUGCAGCAAUUUUCUAAUACAACAAAGGAAGAACAACUGGAAGUGCCUGUGUCAUUUGCGAAGGAAGUGCCAGAGCCAUCGACUGGUAUGACUGCAGUGGAGCAAACGGGUCUCUCACAACCAUCUGAAUUUGCAGGAUCUGUGCAAUUGAAUCUUAUACCAAACCAGCAGGAAACAAAAGUGUCAAAGCAAUUGGCAAAAGAACCCAUCGAUUGGAAAAUAGCAUAUGAUCGAAGCUUGGUGGGAACACAAAAAAGCGGAACCAUUACAAUGAGAUUGUCUGAUGUUAUUAAAAGGGAUCUCAAAUCAGGCAUGACAACCCUUCAGGCAAAGGCUUCUGGUGACUUUUACACAGCCGUGGAGUUCCUUCAGCCGAGCACCAGCGGGGAGGUCGGAAAACAAGACCUGCCAAUUCCUGAGCCUCCAAAAUUAUCCUCCCAAGAGGAAAAAAAUAGCUGCCGAACACCACGAAGAAGCAGCCAUGUGAAGUGUGCGUUUGUGCAUUGCAACUCUAUGUCACCCAAGGAUACAUUGCGGCGGCAGCGGCAGCGACGCUCAAAAGCUUGGCUCAACUUCACAAGGAUUAAUGAACAUUCAGCUCAGUGCAACAUUUGCAACACAGCUAUAUCAUGCAGAAGUGGCUGCACGACCAAUAUGCAUAAACACCUCCGGGUUCAUGGAAUACAAGUGCCGAGUGCCAACAGCAUGGCUGAGUGCUGCGUAGUUGACACGCUGCGUCAGUUCUCUAACCAGUCAGAACCAGGUGGACACACAUAAACAGAAUCCAUUAUGAAAGCAUUUUACCCAGCCGAUGCCAGGAACAGCCAAGUGUAAUUUUGUGACGGCACGGCUGAAAUGGGAGCAGUUGUUAGAGGAGUCGUAUGUAAGAAUUGCACUUAAAUUUUAAAUUUAAAUGGCUAAAGAAAUGCAGAGCUGCCAGUGUUAGUGAAACAUUUCUACCAGGGCUUUCUCGUUUUAACGUAUUACCAGGUCGUUUUAACGAAUUGACAACUUGGUUCAAACUAUUGCACACCUCGUUUUAACGUAUUGCUAACCUCGUUUUAACGUAGUGCCAAUUUCGUUUUAAUGUCAUGCCAACCUCGUUUAGUUAGUGGAAAAGGAUAAAUUAAAAAAUAUUACCUUUUCCCAUAGUUCCUGAGAGUUUUGGCAUGCGUAGUUGUACUUACUCAGCAGGUGCAAGCGUUUGCUUAUGACAACGUGGCGAAGAGGCUCCCUAAUCGUAAUAGCAAAGUAAGUGAAAGAUAUUAUUUAUUGAUAUUGGUGUUAUGUAUUAAUUUUUAAAAAGUAUUAUCAUAUUUUCUACCGUGUGUCGUAGACAAAACCAAGAUGGAGAGUGGAAUGGAGGCACUAUUAACUUUCUUGCGACGCCGUAAUGUUUGUGAAGAGAAAAUAACCAUACUGCAAAAUGUCAAAAAUGCAAUGAAUUGUUCCUAUUGUGGGGCCAACCUGCAGGAGUAUCAAGCAUACUGCACUUCCUGUGGGAAAAGCACUGCAGUGUUAUUCGAUGUUAAUCAGACAAGUAGCCAUGAAGUAAGGACAAGACAGAGGGCACUGGCUUCCUUCCUGAGUUUCCGACGUCUAAAAAAGGAGGAGAAAAUGUCAGGUAUUAAAAAGAAAACUGUGCCACGAAAUGACAACACUGUCAAGAUUUCAAUCGGUUUGAUGAUACCAACUGAUGGAAUGCUGAAACCUGUCAGAGGAAUGGUAUUACCUCUGGCUGUGAAUCCAGGAUCAGAUGUUGAACAACUGCUAAGAGCUGCUGAAAAAAGGUUGACAGACUUUAACAGAAAUUUUGAAGGUGGUCCUUACUUACUGGUCUACCCUGAUGGCACAAAAGUAACUUCCAUACCAGGAACAGAAAAACCCUUUUCUCUUAAGGACUACAAGGAGGCAGUUGGGAAAGCAUACCAACGUGUUACGUUGUACCUUUGUACAGCCGAUGAUUAUAAUGAGAUCAACAACUGUGAUUGAUUUUUAUGUCUUAACAAAUAUAAGAAUGUUAAUUUGAUAAAUGUCUCAAGUAGAUUGGCCGACAGGUAGUCCCCGGUUUACAGCGUACGCGACUUGUGAUUUCGACUUCUUGUCCGCCAGUCUUUUUUUUUUUUUUCAGUCUCACAAACAGUACUUAAUUGUACCUCACAUUAGCUUAAAUUUUGUAAUUUACUUUAUGUACAUGACUUGUUCUGUCCUCACAAAACAUGAAGUUGUUCAGCUUGACAGACAGCAAACAAAGCAAUUGUGCUUUUUGAAGCUUUUUACUUCCUUGACUUUUGACCAUUUGUAAAGCUGUUACACACAUAUAUACACAUCUGUUCAAAACGACACGCAUUUUAACAAUAAAACAGUCGACACGAAACGGUUGGUGUUCAAACGUCCAUCGAGUCUGAUCAAUAUGUAAAUUUAGUUGAUUAAAUUAGCCUAAUUUGCAUUACAAAAGUCCGCUACCUUAAAUGCUAUGAAUGUUAAUGUAUUUAAAAUUCUCGUAGCAAUCGCUCACACGUUAUGUCAAGUUCAAAUACGAAUCCUUAGGUAGACAUUUAUAUUACCCAAACUAAGGAGAGAAGCCACUCAAUUUGGUUGAAAAGCUUGCAAGGAGAAAGAAGGGAAACUAUCCAGCUUCCGCAAUCGUUCUAACUAGCCCCUCCUUCACCUCGCUUUUUAUUUGGAAUGGCCCUAGCAACAGAUGGGUGUCUUGCCCUUAAAGGGAAAGGGAAAGCAGCAAGCUGGCCAUACCCCUUGUAUUUGUUUGGCUAUGUGUGUGCAUGUAGGUGGAAUUAUAUACAUGUGUGUCAGCACAUUUCAGCAAAGCAAAACUGCCUCUUCUGCCUGUCCUUGAACAGGUAAGAGGCCUCCUCAAGGCUUCUUCAAGACAAAACAUUAACAAAUGAGCAAAAGCCUUUCUUUAAUGCAAGCAGCUAUUGAUUAGAGCAAUUAUAUAACAAACAUCUCCAUAACUAUCACAUCAAAUUCAGUUCAUGAAGCAAUAGCAUUUGGCAAGUAAUAAAUUGCAACAGUAUGAUUUCUUAAAUGUCCCAUACAGUUUAGAUCUCAAUGUCUGAGGCUUGUCCCUUGAAGUUGACCUGUGGAAGAUGGGCCGGUUUAGACCGGUCAGAAUGACAUUGGAGGUUUAUCAAGAACUAAACAUGUCUAUAGUUAUCAAUCACUAAAAUGUAUCUUUACUGCAAUCAAUCAAGGAACAUACUAUUAUAGCAAUCAAUACUUUAUUGUGACCCUUCAUUGGUAAAAGUAAAUAUUUAAUAACCAUUUAAUAAUUAUCACGUUACUCCUUAGACUGUAGCUCUAAACUUUGUUACAAAUGCAUACACAAAGAUAUAUUAGCUGAAACAACUUACAGCCUUGUGUGGGCCAAACCAGAGCGCAGCUGUCCUUUAUCCAUAUGAGACGUCUGAGUGCUCCUGUAUGGAAGCAUUAUCGAACGACAGUGCAGCCAGACCCAACGCUGCCCUCAGAGGGCAGUGUAUCCUCAACCGUUAAACAAAUACAAUACUUUUGGACUUUUUGAUAGUUAUUUUGACAUUUUCAAGGGUUAAUUCCGACUUAAACGGAAAUUCGGGUUACUUUGCAAGCGUAGGAACGGAACUCGUUCGUAACCCGGGGACUACCUGUAUUGUCAUCCAAAUCCUUUUGUGUUCCCAGUACACCUCAUUGCUUUGAAUUUACUUGCAAAAAUGUUCAAAGUUUGGAAAAAAGUUCUGUAUUUCUACUAAAAUGUAUGUCCAAAAUGUAAUGUCUGAGGAAACCAAUUAUGAUUUUUUUUUUUUUUUUUUUUUUUAAUUUCCCCAUUUGUGUAAAAUCAAUUUCACAUGGAUUUUAAUGAAUGCACCAGGGUGUAAUAUGAUAAGGGAUUUUUGAAAACAAAGCAAAUGUUCAAGUUUGCAUCUAUGCUGGCCUUUGAUGCCAAGAACAAUGUGGCCCCAUUGGGUUAAAAAGUAACCCUAAGCUUAUGAACUAAUCUUAAAAACAUAUUGAUGAUGCUCAAGACUUGGAAAAACCUUCUGUUGACUUCAGAGUCAGAAAGUGAACUCAUUCGAAAGUGUGCAGCCUUUUAAAUUUGGUGUAAAAAUGGCACAUUUGUUCAAAAGGAUGGCAACAGUGAACCAUGAUGAUGGUGUGGGGAUGCUUUGCUACCUCAGGACCACGGCAAAUUGAUGUGAGUGAUGGAACAAUGUAUUUUGCACUCUACCAGAAAUCCUGGAGGAGAAAGUCCAGCCAUCAGUUUAUGCCCUCAAAUUCAAGCGCUCUUGGAUCAUUGAUAGGGUUGGGCAUCGUUUGAAUUUGAACGGUUUCAAAUUCACAGUUCGAUUCCGGCUCUAAACGAUUUCGAUUCAUUUAAUAGCCAGGGUAAAAAAAGUUGCAUAGUUAAUAUUAAUUUCUUCUCAAUUAUUUUUUUAAAUUAUAUGAACUUUCAAUUAACUUUGCUAUGAACUUCUCACAGGGCUAUUUUUAACUGGUAUAUAAAUAUGUCUCUGAACUUGAAUAUGAUGUUUCUUUCCAAAAGAGUGCACUUUCACAAAGCUCACGGAGAAAACAUUUCCACAUAGUCUUUUGCCUAUGUUUAAGAGUGUCUAAUAGAGGUGUGCAUCGGCACUGCCCUCACGAUUCGAUUCGAUUACGAUUCGGAGGGCCUUGAUUCGAUUCGAUUCGAUUCAGAGGGUCACGAUUCGAUUCGGUUCCAUUCGGCAAUGCAUCGCGAUGCAUUAAAGCCUGGGAUGCAUUAGAAUUCUGAAGCAAAGCAUAUUUUUCGUGAAUCAUGAGCCAACACAAGCGGUCAGUCACAACAACUUUUUAUUGGCUCUUGUGUCACUCCUGGUUGAAGUCAAAUGAAAAUACUUUCAGAUAUAUAUAUAUUGAAAAAAAAACAGAUCACACUAUUUAAUUAGUGCUUUGAAUGAGACCAGGGCUUUCUCUUUUUUUUACACACAGUAGCAGCCUUUCACACAGUGCAACAUCUGAACUCCUGUGCAAAAUCAGUAAUAACAGUCACUGUAUUUUAGUCACAACGACCCAUCAAUACAAAUAUUCAAGUAAAUAUUAUAAAGAAAACGACAAAGAAAAUAUUGUAGUGCAGCAGCAUCUUUAUCGCAAUAUCAAUCCAGGGAUCAGUUCAGUUGCAAACAAAACAACUAAAUUGCAAUGUAGAACAAAAGUAAAAUGUAGGCCUAGCCCACUAUAUAUGUGCAAUCAACUUAGAAAUGCAAUCCGUUACUACCACAUAACAAUAAAAAGUAAUGAAUUAAAAUGAAGUGCAGCAGCAUUUUAGCAGCCCUAACAAUUUGUUUCAACAGGAGGAAAUAUCAGUUUUUUGCAAUCGAGAGAGCAGAGAGAUAGUAGAGGUUAGAUCGGGCCUAAAAAAUCCAGCCCGACCCGACACGGCCCGCUGGAAUUGAAGUCCGACCUGGCCCAGCCCGAAAAACCCGAAUUUUUUAUUUUAUUUUUUAAAAUUUGUCGGAGUGACGCGAAAAAAAAAUGCAGCAGCAGCAAUUUAUUUUCAUUUCUUCAAGUUGGCAGAAAAAACGCACGUUUUCUUAAUGUUUAACUAGUCUACAUAUUUUUAUGAUCAUUAUAAAAGCAUUUACACAACGAAAUAAUGCUGGGAAAGUUUAAUAUAAAAAAAAAAACAUGCGAUUUUGUAGACAUACAGAAGAGACGAUUCAAAAGGAUCACAUUUGUGUGCAUAAAAAUGUCUUUCGUAACGAAUUCUCAGUUAGCAGAAAAAAAAACGCAAGUUUUCUUAAUGUUUAACUAGUCUACAUAUUCUUAUGAUCAUUAUAAAAGCAUUUACACAAUGAAAUAACGCUGGGAAAGUUUAAUAUAAAGAAAUAAAAAAACAUGCGAUUUUGCAGACACAGAGGAGAAGAUUCAAAAGGAUCACAUUUGUGUUGCCUUUGUGUGCAUAAAUAAAAGUGUCUUUCGUAACGAAUCGCAAGCGCCACAUCGGGAGGAGAAGAAGAAAAAGCGGGCGGUGCCACUGUGUUCAUGUGCAUUCACAAGCAAAUGCACAAUACAGAGAGCCUGCUCUCGGUUUUAUCCCUUUUUUUUAAUUUAAUUUUUAAAAAAUUUAUUAGUCCGGCGCGCCCGACCCGAACGUGAAUGCUUAACAUUUUGGACCCGACCCGUUCGGGUUCGGGCACAAGAUCUAACCUCUAAGAGAUAGGACAUAACAUAACAAUGGCUGAAGCGGAGAAAUAGGGAGCGAGAAAGAUUAUUGAUGCACCUAAGACAUUGAAAGCAGACAUCUGGAGACAUUUUGGCUUCUACGAGGUUGGUGGGAAACUUGACCAGAGUUAUGCAGUGUGUAAAAAAUGAAACAUGAGAAUAAUAAUACAAAUGGGGAAACCAAAUCCGUUGCAUCACCGGAAUUGCGCAGGGAAGAUUUUUGAACGUACUUAUAUAUUUUAAAAUGCGCUGAAUCGAUUCGGCUUGUUGCCCGAAUCGAAUCGUCCAUGCCCCGCAUCGGGAUGCAUCGCCACAUCGAUUAUUGUUGACACCACUAGUGUCUAAUGCUGCAGGCCUUUAUUGUAUUGCAUCGUUUGAUUUGGGUGGUAUUUCUACAAGUUAGUUAAGGGAUGUCAGGCGGGGAGUUUUCUGUCCCUUUAUCUUAAGUUGACUACUUUUUAAGUUAGAUUUCUUUCUAAACUGAUAUAUUGUUCAUCUGUCUACAUGUUGUCACUAUUGUAACUCCGGACUCUACAGUUUUUUCUUUGGUUUUGCUAUGUGCGCUUUGCUUUCCCCUAGCGAUAACUACUGGAAGCAGCAGGCAAAAAGAACUUACUACAUUAGCUUAAAAGAAUCCUUGAGGUGUGCAGACGCUACACACCACCUCUACACUACACAUCGUUGGGAACACUUGAUAAAACAAAAUCUGUAAGUUUGCACGUUUUAACAGAGGGUCUGAUAUUAUUUCGGUUUGUUUAUUCUGUUACUAUGUUGUCAUUUAUGUGAAGUGAAGCAACACAUUUUUAUGCUAAGCUAAAUUAGCCACUUCAUAUGAUUUUGUCAUAAAAGAGCUAGUCAUAAUGUGGCUUUUCCUUCGUGGUGUUGGGCAGCUAUUUUUCUGCUCGGCGAUCAGGGCAUCGAAACUUGGAAUCAAAAUUUUAAUAAUUGAGCGGCCCCAGAAUCCCAUCGAUGCUCGAUGCCCAACCCUAAUCAUGGAGCAGGACAACCAUCUGAUACACACCAACAAAUCUGCCUCUGAAUGGCUCAAAUGGAAAAAAGGUUUAGUGGCCAAGUCUGGAUUUAAAUCAAAAUGACUAGCUUAAAUGGGCAGUUCAUACUAGAAAACACUCCAGUACGGCAAAGUUGAAACAACUCUGUGAAGAAUUCUGGACUAAAAUUCCGCCACAGCGAAAUGCAAGAUUCAUUUCCAAUUAUUGCAAAGGCUUGAUUUCAGUUAAAAUAAUAACAGGUAAAGCUUGCAGCUGUAUGGGGACAAUUGUUUUUCACAUAGCGCCCUAUAUAUUGGAUUUUUUUCUUGUGCCUUGAAAAAUGUUUUUUUUAGAAAUUGCAUUUUGUAUUUGCUUGUAUUGUCUCUGUAUU